AAUAAGAAAGCAUUUAAAUGCAUUUAGUUUCGACCUAGAAGAAGUAAACAUUACUCUUAUUA
rnacentral:tRNA from 1 species